rnacentral:rRNA from 1 species
AGUGAACGCUGGCGGUAGGCCUAACACAUGCAAGUCGAACGGCAGCACAGUAAGAGCUUGCUCUUACGGGUGGCGAGUGGCGGACGGGUGAGGAAUACAUCGGAAUCUACUUUUUCGUGGGGGAUAACGUAGGGAAACUUACGCUAAUACCUCAUACGACCUACGGGUGAAAGCAAGGGAUCUUCGGACCUUUCGCGAUUGAAUGAGCCGAUGUCGGAUUAGCUAGUUGGCGGGGUAAAGUCCCACCAAGGCGACGAUCCGUAGCUGGUCUGAGAGGAUGAUCAGCCACUCUGGAAAUGAGACACGGUCCAGAAUCCUACGGGAGGCAGCAGUGGGGAAUAUUGGACAAUGGGCGGAAGCCUGAUCCAGCCAUACCGCGUGGGUGAAGAAGGCCUUCGGGUUGUAAAGCCCUUUUGUUGGGAAAGAAAAGCAGCAGGUUAAUACCCCGCUGUUCUGACGGUACCCAAAGAAUAAGCACCGGCUAACUUCGUG